UCAGUAUGGCAGAUUAUUGCAAUGAAUUUAAGAUUCAUGUAUGAGUAUUUUUAUUUUGCUGAA
rnacentral:tRNA from 1 species